rnacentral:lncRNA from 1 species
AACAUCCUCCUGGGAGGAAGCAGGGCAUGAAUCCGAAGGAAUUAGUGAAGUCCUUCCAUAGCCAUCCUUGAUGGUGGAGCGGGGGUGUGUCUCAGCAAAAAGGGCUGAAGUAUAAGGUGCUGGGACCAGUUGUCAGUAAAGGCAGUAUGAUUCAAUGAAUCAAUUAAAUCAGGAUGGAGAAGGGAAGCAAAAAGUCCAAGCCAGAUAAGUGGAACUACCCAUGAAACUGGAGGGUGUGGUGAACAAAAGCAAAAUGAUUAGUCACAAGGUCAGGAGCAAGGUGAGUCAAGGGGAGUGGUUCAGAAAGUAGACUGUGAGGAACCUUGGGAAGUGGUGAAUGGGGGUGGCUGUGUUUUAUCUCAAGCCCCACUUCUUAGUGUAAUGGGUAUGGGGCUGUCAGC